AUUGAACGCUGGCGGCAGGCCUAACACAUGCAAGUCGAACGGUAACAGGAAGAAGCUUGCUUCUUUGCUGACGAGUGGCGGACGGGUGUGUAAUGUCUGGGAAACUGCCUGAUGGAGGGGGAUAACUACUGGAAACGGUAGCUAAUACCGCAUAACGUCUCAAGCCCAAAGAGGGGGACUGUCGGGCCUCUUUCCAUCGGAUAUGCCCAGAUGGGAUUAGUUAGUAGGUGGGGUAACGGUUAACCUAGGCGACGGUCACUAGCCGGUCUGAGAGGAUGACCAGCCACACUGGAACUGAGACACGGUCCAGACUCCUACGGGAGGCAGCAGUGGGGAAUAUUGCACAAUGGGCGCAAGCCUGAUGCAGCAAUGCCGCGUGUAUGAAGAAGGCCUUCGGGUUGUAAAGUACUUUCAGCGGGGAGGAAGGGAGUAAAGUUAAUACCUUUGCUCAUUGACGUUACCCGCAGAAGAAGCACCGGCUAACUCCGUG
rnacentral:rRNA from 1 species